rnacentral:rRNA from 1 species
UACGUAGGUGACAAGCGUUGUCCGGAUUUACUGGGCGUAAAGAGCGCGCAGGCGGUCGUUCAAGUCGAGUGUGAAAGCCCCCGGCUCAACUGGGGAGGGUCAUUCGAUACUGAUCGACUCGAAGGCAGGAGAGGGUAGUGGAAUUCCCGGUGUAGUGGUGAAAUGCGUAGAUAUCAGGAGGAACACCGGUGGCGAAGGCGGAUCUCUGGGCCAUUACUGACGCUGAGGAGCGAAAGCGUGGGGAGCGAACAGG